rnacentral:lncRNA from 1 species
CGAGGCCUUGUUCAGGCAGAUGAUGAUAUUAUCGUCUCAAACUGGUGCUGGCGAAACUGACACCUUGCUCAGCAGCAGAGGGCCAAAGGAGCAUGCACCAAAGACGCUUUGCUCUUAUGCUGAAGUAACCAGCACAGUAUGAGUCAUGCCUGAUGAAGAUCCAGAGACUUCUUCCUGAAAUGAUAAAUGAAGUUACUUCUAGGAAGGGGAGUUACUGCAGUGACAGAGCUGUUCUGUAUCCUUUUUUUAUAUGAGGAAGAUCUGUUGUGAUUUAGAAGAGGAAAUUUUAAGACAAUAAUCUAAAAAACUCUAUUCAUUCUGCCAGCUUCCCUAUAAUUACUGCUAAUUGCAUUGUUUUAGAAAUUGAUGGAGCAUUAUAAGAAAGAGAAGCAGAGAAGGAAAACAUCAUCUUCAGCAAAGCUGUUGGAAUGAAAAUACUGUCUGCCUACAUGGCACAUGAGGCAGUGCACGAGUGCCUGCAGCAGUCUAGCACUUAGAGGACACACUGUCACCUACUGAAUUAGUCAAAUUACCAUUGUUCU